GGGGAAUUAGGGUUCGAUUCCGGAGAGGGAGCCUGAGAAACGGCUACCACAUCUAAGGAAGGCAGCAGGCGCGCAAAUUACCCAAUCCUAAUACAGGGAGGUAGUGACAAGAAAUAACAAUACAGGACUUUUUGGUUUUGUAAUUGGAAUGAGUUAAGUAUAAACCCCUUUACAAGUAUCAAUUGGAGGGCAAGUCUGGUGCCAGCAGCCGCGGUAAUUCCAGCUCCAAUAGCGUAUAUUAAAGUUGUUGCAGUUAAAAAGCUCGUAGUUGGAUUUCUGUUAAUAAUUUAUAUAAAAUAUUUUGAUGAAUAUUUAUAUAAUAUUAACAUAAUUCAUAUUACUAUAUAUUUUAGUAUAUGAAAUUUUACUUUGAGAAAAUUAGAGUGCUUAAAGCAGGCAUAUGCCUUGAAUACUCCAGCAUGGAAUAAUAUUAAAGAUUUUUAUCUUUCUUAUUGGUUCUAAGAUAAGAAUAAUGAUAAUAGG
rnacentral:rRNA from 1 species